rfam:Treponema pedis str. T A4, complete genome.
GCUUAUCUGACAAGUUUGCUUUUGAGCGGGCAUCGGUUAUUGUAUUGCAGUUUGUAAAUAAACCGCUUGAAAAAUAUUUUUCGGGAUUUAAUAAUCCCUCCAAAAAGUUUUUAUAGGA